rnacentral:tRNA from 1 species
UCUAACGUGGCAGAUAAGUGCAUUGGAUUUAAGCUCCACACAUAAAGCCUCAUAAACUUUCAUUAGAA